rnacentral:tRNA from 2 species
GCGCCCGUAGCUCAACGGAUAGAGCAGCGGACUUCUAAUCCGCAGGUUGCAGGUUCGAGUCCUGCCGGGCGUG